UACAGAGGUCUCAACCGUUGUUCGGAUUCAUUGGGCGUAAAGGGUGCGUAGGCGGCGGGGUAAGUCAGGUGUGAAAUCUCGGGGCUCAACCCCGAAACUGCACUUGAUACUGCCUCGCUUGAGUACUGGAGAGGAGACUGGAAUUUACGGUGUAGCAGUGAAAUGCGUAGAUAUCGAGAGGAACACCUGCGGCGAAGGCGGGUUGCUGGGCUGACACUGACGCUGAUGCGCGAAAGCCAGGGGAGCGAACGGG
rnacentral:rRNA from 1 species